AAGUCGUAACAAGGUUUCCGUAGGUGCACCUGCGGAAGGAUCAUUACCAUGUUUCCGAGCUGUGCCCUUGGCCGGCUCGCUUUCACCCUUGUCUUGUCUACCCUGUUUCCUCGGUGAUGGUAAAGACCUGCCAGAGGACAUUUUAAACCCUGUACUUGCAAUCAGCGUCAGAAAACUUAAUAAUUAAAA
rnacentral:misc_RNA from 1 species